rnacentral:rRNA from 1 species
UACGUAGGGUCCGAGCGUUGUCCGGAAUUACUGGGCGUAAAGAGCUCGUAGGUGGUUUGUCGCGUUGUCCGUGAAAACUCACAGCUUAACUGUGGGCGUGCGGGCGAUACGGGCAGACUAGAGUACUGCAGGGGAGACUGGAAUUCCUGGUGUAGCGGUGGAAUGCGCAGAUAUCAGGAGGAACACCGGUGGCGAAGGCGGCUUGCUGGACAGUAACUGACAUUGAGGCUCGAAAGCGUGGGGAGCAAACAGGAUUAGAUACCCU